UGCCCAGCAACUCCUAUCACUACCUCCUCGUGGUACUGGCCGGGGUACGAGUAACCUUGGGGAAGAUCGGGUAACCAACCCCCGGUGGGAACUUUGGUCGUAUGCUGACAGGGAAGG
rfam:Aedes aegypti strain Liverpool supercont1.48 genomic scaffold, whole genome shotgun sequence.